GAUGAACGCUGGCGGCGUGCCUAAUACAUGCAAGUCGAGCGAACGGACGAGAAGCUUGCUUCUCUGAUGUUAGCGGCGGACGGGUGAGUAACACGUGGAUAACCUACCUAUAAGACUGGGAUAACUUCGGGAAACCGUAGCUAAUACCGGAUAAUAUUUUGAACCGCAUGGUUCAAAAGUGAAAGACGGUCUUGCUGUCACUUAUAGAUGGAUCCGCGCUGCAUUAGCUAGUUGGUAAGGUAACGGCUUACCAAGGCAACGAUGCAUAGCCGACCUGAGAGGGUGAUCGGCCACACUGGAACUGAGACACGGUCCAGGCGCCUACGGGAGGCAGCAGUAGGGAAUCUUCCGCAAUGGGCGAAAGCCUACCGGAGCAACGCCGCGUGAGUAAUGAAGGUCUUGGGAUCGUAAAACUCUGUUAUUAGGGAAGAACAUAUGUGUAAGUAACUGUGCACAUCUUGACGGUACCUAAUCAGAAAGCCACGGCUAACUACGUG
rnacentral:rRNA from 1 species